AUUGAACGCUGGCGGCAGGCCUAACACAUGCAAGUCGAGCGGAUGAAGGGAGCUUGCUCCUGGAUUCAGCGGCGGACGGGUGAGUAAUGCCUAGGAAUCUGCCUGGUAGUGGGGGAUAACGUCCGGAAACGGGCGCUAAUACCGCAUACGUCCUGAGGGAGCAAGUGGGGGAUCUUCGGACCUCACGCUAUCAGAUGAGCCUAGGUCGGAGUAGCUAGUUGGUGGGGUAAAGGCCUACCAAGGCGACGAUCCGUAACUGGUCUGAGAGGAUGAUCAGUCACACUGGAGCUGAGACAGGGUCCAGACUCCUACGGGAGGCAGCAGUGGGGAAUAUUAGACAAUGGGCGAAAGCCUGAUCCAGCCAUGCCGCGUGUGUGAAGAAGGUCUUCGGAUUGCAAAGCACUUUAAGUUGGGAGGAAGGGCAGUAAGUUAAUACCUUGCUGUUUUGACGUUACCAACAGAAUAAGCACCGGCUAACUUCGUG
rnacentral:rRNA from 1 species